rnacentral:lncRNA from 1 species
UAAAAUGAAACUUUUUGAUCAAUGAAAUACAAAGGAGGAAAAAUAUGACUCAAAUUCUCAAGUUUGUUUAUGCUUUGAUAAUAUUUCUUUCAUUAUUUCUUGUUGUAGCCAAUGGUGGUAAGUCAUUUUUUCACAUUAUUUUCAAUUUUUCUAAAUCAUGUAUUAUGAUCACCCAUGACUAAAAAUAAUUUAUUCUUAUUUGACAAUGUAGGUUUUUUCUUCUGCACAAUAGUUGAUGAUUGUCCAGCUCAAUUGUGUUUCGAAACUCAAAAAUCGCUAUGCAUGGAUUAUAGAUGUGAAUGCAUGUAAGAGUAACAAUUAUGUUGAAAAAUAAUUUUAUCUUACAUGUAUUGUCAAUUUUAUUUAUGCUUUUAUGAUAUUUCAAAUUUUUUGAAAAUCACAAAAGCAAAUUACUAUUAUAUUAUAAUAAAUGACUAAAUAAAUUUGAAGUUCCAAGUCUUGCAUAAUCCAAACUUGUAUAUAGCUAGAUUUAUGUAUAUAAAUAUAAUUGAAGAAAUAUAUCUUUUUACAUCUUUUGGGUGUAAAUGAGGAGUAAUUUACAUUGAUGGAAACCACAGAAAUAUACAUAAAUUUUGUCAUGAAAAAUAAAUAAUUGAUAACCAAAGUGUGGAAAAGAAAAUCAGAUUGGCCUAUAGAUUAAGAUUGUUUUACUGAGUCAGGAACUAAUUUGAUGGUUUACUCGAUCAGAUACUAAUCCAAGAUUUCAGAUGGCCACAUGGAUUUCCAAAUGGAAAUUUCAUUCUCACUCUCAAUCUUUCUUAUUCCUCCAUAAAAUCCAUCAGCCUCAUUUCCUUCCUCUCUAUGAUCUUUCCUAUUGAUAUUAGUUUGUCUCCAUCUUGAGCCAGGAGUGUAAUGGUUGAACUCUAGCACCACUGUGUCUGCAGCAUUCAACAAAUUUAUCAUCAUAUAAACUAUAAUUGAAUCUAAAGAAAACCAUUUCAAGGAUUGGAUAUAAAUAUAACAAGGCUCAUACAAUGAUUCUUGAAGUUUUCAUCUUAACAUCCUAAGUCAUUUUUUUUAUAUAAAACUACACUAGAGGCCCUUUCAUUUAAUUUAAAGUUUCAAACAUGUUCUUAAUAUAUGUUUCAUUUAAAAUUCAGCUCAUGAACGGAUCUAGAUUAUGUGCAGUCAGAAAAAAAGUGACUAUACUGCAGUCGGUCAUAUCUAGACCGUUUGGUUAAAAUCAGAUGGUUUAGAUUUUUAGCUUGAAUUUUAUAUUUAAAAAAGUUAAAAUCUAAUCUUAAAAUCUAGACCAUCCGAUAUUGAUCAGACGGUCCAAAUAUCUUAACAGCAUGCAAUGUGACCACACAAUUCAAUUCCCUCAUGAACAAAGUUGGACCUUGAAUGUGUCCACUGUGUUGCUGGAAAUGAUGAAAUGUCUUGGAGACCAUUCAAAUGGAAUGGCAAGUAGUCCACAUUUAGAUAUAUUCUCUACAAUAUAAUAAUAUAUAAUAGUGGCAGAUCUCACAACUUUUACAUUAAAAAUGUUAAAUCAACAAAUCAGCAUAAAUUAAUAAUGUUCACUCUAUCAUCAAAAUUCCUAGGCAAUUACUUUAUUUAGCCACCACUUUGACAUUUAUUAACUCACCACUAAUAUGACAGCGGCAAGAAUUUUCAUUUCCAUUACAUGAUUCCAAGUGACCAACAAUACCAUACCACCAACCUGCCAUAAAGGUAAAAAUUCAUUAAUAAAAUCAUACUAAUAUGAAAUCUACAAAGUCUCUUUUAUUAAUCAAUGUAUUACAGAUUAAAUUUACAAGAUAUAGAAGUAAUUAGUAGUAUAUAAACAUGGAAUUAGAGAAUGAUUGUGGAGAAAGAAACAAACCAUAAGGAAAUUCUUUGUUUCUCCUCCAUUGAAUCUCUAUGUGAUCACCAGGAUGCAAAUCAGAUAAACAAUCAGAGAUAUACAGAUCAUGUGGAGAGUUAUCAACAGGUGGUGCUCUUAUCCUUUUCCAUGGAAUGCCACAUUCUCUAGCUUCUCCUCUUCUUCCAUGUGCAGGAUACCUGUAAUAAGCAACCAAUCAGCUAUUAGUCCAUUAUUCACAUCAACGAAAGGUAGGCAGACAACAAACUGCGCCACUGAACCUUUCUGUAUAGCAAAACCAAUCCUUCAGAUCUUAAUUUCGUUUUAUUUUCUUGCUAUAUUUUCAUUUGAAAACUCUUGAAAAUUGUUUGUUACUCAAAUCUUAAACCAAUG